rnacentral:rRNA from 1 species
UGGGGAAUCUUGCGCAAUGCGCGAAAGCGUGACGCAGCAACGCCGCGUGGGUGAAGACGGCCUUCGGGUUGUAAAGCCCUUUCAGUUGGGACGAAGCUUCGUCGGUGAAUAGCCGGCUGGAGUGACGGUACCUUCAGAAGAAGCCCCGGCUAACUACGUGCCAGCAGCCGCGGUAAUACGUAGGGGGCGAGCGUUGUCCGGAAUCAUUGGGCGUAAAGCGCGUGUAGGCGGCUCGGUAAGUCCGCUCUGAAAGUCCGGGGCUCAACCCCGGGAGGCGGGUGGAUACUGCCGGGCUAGAGUCCGGAAGAGGCGAGUGGAAUUCCUGGUGUAGCGGUGAAAUGCGCAGAUAUCAGGAGGAACACCAAUGGCGAAGGCAGCUCGCUGGGACGGUACUGACGCUGAGACGCGAAAGCGUGGGGAGCGAACAGGAUUAGAUACCCUGGUAGUCCACGCCGUAAACGAUGGGCACUAGGUGUGGGGGGUGUCGACUCCCUCCGUGCCGACGCUAACGCAUUAAGUGCCCCGCCUGGGGAGUACGGCCGCAAGGCUA